GGUAUUAAACCCUCAGAGACUCCCUGUCCUGUGACCCCUCCCCCCCUUGACCUCCUGACCCCCCCCGCCUGUCGGGGUCAGGUGGAGGUCCGGCUGUGGUCGGUUCUGAAACCUGCAGACGUCACGUAACCGAGCGACACCAUCAAAAGACACAAUGUGCCACAGACGAGUCGCAGUAAUCUGCUCAGUGUCCCUGUGAUGAAGUCUGACUGAUGUAACCGAGUACUUUAAUCAAGUACUGCAUCAGUUUACUGCUGCUGGAGGGUAACGCAGUACAUGUACUCAGAGUUGGUACUUUGUUUUUUUGAGUUACUUUUACUUGAAGUAUUUUCUGUUUUAUUUCCCGCUGAUGAAAUGUAACUAUUCUCAGUUACUCAAUUACUAAAGUAUGAAGUUACUAAGUACAUUUACUCAAGUGUGUACAUCAUGUUCUUACGUACGUAUCGGAGGUGUGUUGUACUUUACUUUGUCCCGUGAUCGAAAGGUAACAGAGUAGUUUUACUCAACAGGUGUAUUUUAUUCCUAGCGAUGGAAUGUAACUAAGUACAUUUACUCAAGUACCUGUUUUUAAAGGGUAAUUCCGCUAAGUUUCCACAUUAAAAGUGUGUUUGCAGACUUCUGUGGCUGCAGGAGAAGCUGAGUGUAGUCCGAUGAACCACCUCCAGUGAUGUCACACAGUGGCGAGUGAGUUGCAUUGUGGGUAUUGUAGGCACUAUGUUUUGAAACGUGUUUAAAGAGGUGAAAUCUCUCUAUCCUCUGCUGAUGUUGUUGUUGUUGUUGUUGGGUCUGAUUUUUCUUUAUCUUUCCUUUUAAAUUAUCAUCAAAUAAUUAAUCGUCUGUCAAUAAACAAAUCAAUUAAGAGAUCCAGAGUCUCGUAUGUCGACUCGCGUUGAGGUGGACAGUUAACGCGUCGGAGGAAAAGCUGACGGAUGAAAAAAAAAAAAAAAAAAGUCUCACAGCAGCUUAAUAUCAUGAGCGGAGCUGCAGAGAGGAACAAUCCCUGUGAGGUUAGAGAGGAGGGCAAGGACAUGUUGCAUCAUCAUAACACACACACACACACACACACACACACACACACACACACACACACACUUCAGCAUCAAUCGUUCCUCCGACGGUCGUUAAAGCAGCACAGAACAAACACUUCACUCGAGCAUUUAUGAUUUUAUUCUUCUUUUUGAUUUCUGGAUUCUGGAAUUCAAAAAGGAUUUUUUUUCUUACAGAUUUGUAGGUAGAAACAGCGGCCAUUUUGUGCCGGCACAGGCCUCCAGGACGAGCGCCAUCGUCUCGUGAUGCACUCGGGCCUAAAAACACUCGUGAGAUAACGCGGUGAAGGACGAAGCGUACGCUGUCGACCGAGUGGGUCGACUGGAGAUCCGGCAGACGGUCCCUGAUUAUUAUCUGAAGAGUUACGUUGUGCGUCACAAAUGCACCAGAAAGGAGGAACAACACCAAACAACAACAGGCCGCAUCCCAAAUACUUCAACUCCGAGUGUUCAUCUCAUCUCGAACUCAGCGAGAGACAAUAAAAAGGAAAGAGAAGAGUCUGACAUGUUCACGACCAGUUGAACAGCUGACGGUGAUGUGGGUGGUCUCGGGUGGAGACAUAAGGGGCUUUAACAACAGCACUCUCAUCUGUAGAUAUAGCCAGCAAAGGAUUACAGAGGAUUACUAUCGCAGCGUGUCUGCUGCACGUCACCGGUCACGAGCUGUGGAGUCGAGUCUGCCGUCGUGCACGAUGGAGAUCGUAAUAUUCAACUUCGAUAUAAUGUUUUUAUCAGAACGACAGCAGAGACGUCGACUCCUCAACAACACCGACA